CCCCAAAUAUACGACCAGGCUUCGUGAAGAGUCUCAAAAUUAAGCUCCUUUCUUAGCAUGUAAGUCGUUUUAGCCAAGGUAUAAGAAAGAUAAGGAGAAACUAUUUGCGACACACAGACGAGUUGCAAAAAAUUUUGAAAAUUCUACAAGGUUUCAGGAAUUACAAACGCUUGGGGUUGAAGAGAUUGUCAGAAUGAAGGUGUUUGCUUCAGAAUUCUUGAUUUUGCAUAAGGUCAGGUAAGAUUUUUUCGGUGGAAAAUGGAAGAUUACUCGGCCGUCAAUCCACCAACAACACCAUACUCUCAAACCUCUACCGGCUUCCCAGCAGAUCAACUUCCCCAGUUCCCCCUACACCAACACCAUCAACUUUUCGGAAGAUUUCUACACCGAUGAAUAAGCCAUUGUCAAUCGAGAAAUCAUUGGUGACGAACCCUGUGAUGUUGAGGAGGAAGAAGAAGAUCUUUACAAUGAAUAUUUUUACGAUGAUUAGCCGGAUAUGGGAGAGCAUGAUCAGUAUGAAGAGGAGGAGUUGAAUGUUUCAUUGGAAGAUUUUGAUUCAAAUUAUGCAGGAUUGUAAUGCCGCUGACAUGGAGCUUGAAUCACGCAAUGCUCGGGUUUCAAACAAUCACAAACUUCUUAAGCUUCUUCAUGAUAAUGGUAAUCUUUUUCUAGGGAAAAGGGAAACAAAUGCAAACAAAUUACAUGGUUCUUUCAUAUAAAAUUUAUACCUUUUAGGCCUUGAGUGAAAAUAAAAUUUUUGUUGGUGUCAAUUGUUUAGAGGCUUAGUUUAUGUUGGUUUAGAGGAGAAGAUCUCUACAAUUUGUCUGUGUUGGCCGGUUCCUGUUGUUGCUAGUAUAAAUUUGGUACUAAAAUCAUAAAUUCGGAGUUUUUGGACAUUGGCCUGAGUACCUGAUGUGCGAAAUUAAAAGUUCAACCAAAUUAACCAGGGGACUAAUUUCAUGUAAUUGAUCAGUUGAACAGAUAACUCUUGGUUUAUUUGCAUAUGUUUCUUAAUUUGUGAACACAUAAGAGUGUAGAUUCAUGCCUCUUGAAAUCUUGAGUCAGAUGGGAUGAUCAGGCUUUUAAUCCUACAUCCGCAUUUACUUGCUGAAAUCGAGAGUCUAAUUUACUUCAUAUUGAGUAAGGUGGUAUGUAUAUUAGUAGCUUUUCAAAUGUUGCCUGGUAAUGGGAGAAAAUGGUAAAGGGGAAAAGGCUUCAUUUUCUUUCCCUUUCCUUUCUAUCUCUAUUUAUUGAAAUUACAUGAUUCUUGACGUCAUUUAUUUUGAAAUUAUUGCAUGUGCCAUUCACUCAUUUGUAAAUUAAAUCAAUCUCUUUUGAUUUAUUUUUCCCAAUUUGUUGAUAAAUGUGCUUGAUGAAUUUCCUUUUCCCAAUUGAUAUUUGAUGUAACUUGCUUGCCAAUUAGUAAUAAUUGUAAAUAUGUCAUAAACGUCGAAUUCAUGACCUAUAAAAAAUCAAUUAGACUAAAACCAUUUACCUGGAAGCUCUUUUAAAAAAAAUAGGGGUUAAUUCGUUAAAUGAAAAGAUCCUCUGAUCCUGGAACUUUUUUAGGAUGAAGCUUAGGUCUAUUUGGAAAUUUGUAGGAUCUUCUUUCUAAAAUAUAGCGGGGAUGGGGUGGGGUGGUGGUCUCCUUUAAACGACGCUUUUAAGUUAAACUCGUUUUCUAAGAAACUGGUUUUUGUGAGUUGGUUUUUCUAGACUAGUUGACAACAUUUGGGUAAACCUCGUUCUUCUCAAGAUGUUUUGUUUGGUUUAAAGCUCAAUUUGAAGUGUUAAUACUCUUCGCUGCUUUAUUGUACUCCUACACUGGAACUUGAAUAUCGUGCGUUGUUUAAUUGAA